rnacentral:misc_RNA from 1 species
UUAAGUUCAGCGGGUAUCCCUACCUGAUCCGAGGUCAACCUUAGAAGUUUUAGGUCAGACCAGCCCCCGGGGACCACGAUACGUGCUCGGAAAGCUCAUUGUACCAGCGAUCCACCGGACACCGUCAUUGUUUUUCGGAGCGGCGGAGGUCGAAACCUCGCCGGGUCUCCAACACCAAGCCAGGGCUUGAGGGUUGAUAA